CGGGGAAGUGCAGACUCCCCCUUAAACGGCCCGCCCGUUCAAGCUCUGC
rnacentral:ncRNA from 1 species